GACGGCCUGCAGGGGAGGACAGAGCAGUCACUGCAAGUUGGCUUUGAGGCACGCAGGAUGAAUCCCGCAGCGAGCAGAGUUCAGGCUGAGCCAAAGCUUCCCCAUUUCAAGUUAAACCGGAUAUUUAAGGCCCGAACGCUCCCUCAUGCCCGGGAGGGGUCUCAAGGAAUUUCUUUGGGAACCAACUCUAGGACACAGGCCCAAGAUGAGAACUGACAGACCUCAACACUCUGCCAAUGACACUGUGCAGAAACUGGAGUCCCCCAGAUGACCUGAUCCUGACUGGCCAUCAAGAAAAGUUCAUCUCUCUUAUUGGGAGUGGUGAGCACUGUAUGUGUCGCAUGUGCAUUCUGUUUUGGUGAUUGUUAAUAAAUAGAGGUUAAGUAGGAUAUUACUGUGUAAGGCUCUUUCACUGGUAAAAGACCCUGUAAACCCUCAAACGAUUAAGCCCUGAGUCCUCAGGGAAUGGGUGUUUACGUCAAGCCCGCAGAAGUAGAGCCCAGAGCCCACAGAGGGGUAAAGUUAGGUGCCUUUUGCCUAGAGCCCUAGGAACUGGGAAAUGGUGGGGGUGCCUAAAUUAACUGGGUUACGCCUGAGUCUUAGGAACAGGGUAAGGGUGUGUGCCCUAGAGUGUAAGGUUACGCCUGAGCCCUAGGAAUGGGGUAAGGGUGGGUGCCUAAAUUAAGAAGGUUACACCUUGAGCCCACGGAAGGGUAAAGGUGGGUGCCCCUACAGUGUGUAACAGAGAAUUUUGUGUGGGUAACAGCUUUUAAGUGUGUCUGCUCAUGAAUCCUUAAGAUGUCGGAACCAAUGAACUUCAUAUCUCAGUUCUCUCCUUGAAGAGUGCAAAACGCUCAAAUAUAAAUUCAACUUACAGACAAAUGUGUAUUUUAAAAAGUAUGUUUCCCAGCAAGUUUACUGAAAUAAUACCCAAAGUAUGCUGAGUUCUUACCAUCUGUCCCCGUCAUAUGAUGAAUAUUCUCUGCAUCUUUUAAAGUUUUAACGUCUCCAUUAGCUACAAUAGGUAUAGACGUAUUUUGUUUAAUUAUUUUAAUUGCAUCAUAAUGUACUGGCUGAUGUCGUUCUUCUAUAUUUCUACCAUGAACUGUAAUCCAGGAAACUCCAGCUGCUUCAGCUUUUCGACAGAGAUCUACAGUUCUCUUUAGAUCAUCAUGGAUUCUAAAAUUCCAAGGAAUGUAAUAAUUAUCCUCACCAUCAGUUAUCUCAACUGCAUGAAAUCCCAUCAUAAAGCAAAGUAAACAAGAAUUGAAGAAAGAACAUUAUUGUUGGAAGAUGAACAGAUCUUUUAUCAUAUAACACAUUAAUAUCCCUUGAUUUAGUACUGUCGUUAAUCACGUCACUCAAAUUGAAAGGGUGUCCAAACUUUAUAACAAUUGCCAGAAACCCAUGAGGCUCUUAAAAAUAUAUAAUUUUGCGUAAUUUUGUACCAAAAAUGAAAUAACUCACAUUUAUAUAGCACCUUUUUUUCUGAAAAAUCUCAAUCAACUUUAGAUCUUUAUUAACAGAAACUGCUGAUAUUCCUGUGUAGGUUUUGGAUGACUUCCUCCACACUGAAAUGCAACAUGACGACACAUCACAAUAUUUUAGAAGUCAGUGAAGUGAAGGAUAUCUUUUUCCAACUGAAACUGGAGUGGGAAUUUAGGUAGGCAGAAUGACUCAAGUUGAAAUUUGAUAAGGAAUGUAAUCAAAUCUUUAAGCAAUCACGAUUUGUCAGGAUCUAUUUUUAAUGCCUCAUCUAAAAGACAGCUUCUCCAGCUGGACUAUGCCAUUAAUACCAUACUAGAUCUAGUUCUAAACUGGUAGAAGGAAAAAUAUCACUAACUUACCAGCAUCAUUUCCUGUUCCCCCUAUGUUCCUUUGAGAACUCCCAUCCAAGUGGUAACUUGACCCAAGCUUGCUUAGCUUGGUUCAGAGCACUAGGUGAUAUGGUUGUAUAAACAAUACAAAACUAUUCAACUAGGCUGUGAUCAUUUUACCUUUCAUGAGUUCUGAGUUUUUAAAAAAUGUAUGACUUUUAUGUUGCUUUGGAUAUCAGUGUGUUCUUGCAAACCAAAGCACACUUGAGGACAUGUAGCACCAGAGAAACACUGAUUGCAAUUUUGUAGGAUUACAUGUCUCCAAAUGUACUUUGGAUGAGAAAGAAAACAGAUCCUGACCAGCUGGGGUUGUUAAAGAUCUCAGGGUUGACCUACCAAAAAGCUGAGUGCAAAUCUCCACAGACCAUGCUUAUGGCACUUUUUCUGUAAAGGUAAUAUUAACCCAAAACAUUGCCUGUUUUGUCUGAUUAAAUAAUAAACAUGCUUUAUUGUCUUGAGGCAUAGUAGUGGUCUAAACUUACCUUAUCUUAAUAGAUACUGAAAAUCUGGGGUUCUCGACUUGAUUUCUUACAUGUCUCACCAUAUCUUGAACCAGCUCUGGUUUAUUUAUUAAACAAGCACCAUAACCUUCCGCCAUUGCCCAUCUUUAAGUUAAAGAGAACAACGUUUGCAUUGUAUAUUUGCAAUAAAAGGUCAGUUUCAACCUAAUGCACUAUUUCAGUUUCCUUUUUGACACAUUUGGUGAAUUAUUUUGUCAACAGGGAAGAAGGCAGAGAUAGCACUGGCUAUGGGUGAAAGAUGUUCUUAUGGUUAAGGCUCACAUCUUGGGAGAUGUAGCUUCAAUUCCUGGUUCUAUCACAGAUUUCCUAUGUGACUUUGGACAAGUUACUUAGUCUCUUUCCAAUCCAGUUUCUAAUCAGCUAAAUUAUAACAUUUUACCCAUCCCCUUGCCCCCAAAAGGGCAUCAUAAGGAAAAAUUAAUUAACAUUUUUGAGGCACUCAGAUACAAUGUGAUGUGGGCCAAUAAACAGCUAGAUUUCAUCUUCUAUAUAGAGUCAUGGGAUGUUUUCAAAGAGAAAUUACUUUUAUGAGGACUGUUGGAAAAAGGCCCUUAUUUGUAUGGCCCUCUUAAUCUAACUGUGAAAACUAUACCCGUGAGAAUGGCAGGAUGUACUGUUUUCUCUAACCUAAUUGCAGCUAUUUAUUAGUAUUUAAAUAAUUUGUCCUUAUAAGCAGAUUUUCAAAUUAAAAAAACCCAAAACCCUAAGCCAAAAACAGAACACAGAUUUUCCUAUGGUUUUGAAAUUGGAAGCUUGGUCUCUUGGGUGGACUGUGCAAAGUAAAUAUAACCAUACAGCUCUGAUCACACAAAAACUCUCAAUUUGAUAUUUCGAAGCAGCUGGGUUGAAAGAUAGAGAGAAACUAAUACAUUUCUAUGUGUAAAAUUAUUAGGAGAUAAUUGUUAUUUCAAGUCAUGAGAAUCUAAUUAGACCACUUGAGUAAUUAAAUAUUUGCACUUAUUAUAAGUUACCUUUGGUUGUGCUUCCCUACAUUUUCUAGUUGAUGUUUUCAGUUUGUAAAGUGUGUUUUGACUAAAACACCUCCAAUAUUACUUAAUAGGUCUAACUUGAACCACUUAAUAAAUAUUUUCAAUUGUGUAUGAAUAUUUUCAGUCUGAACUGGGUCACGACAUACAAGAACAAAAUCUGGAAGAUUUUAAGUGAGGAGCAGAUCACUGAUCUCACUGACAAACAUUUAGCCCCUAAUCAAAGAUGCAAGUAGUUCUUGAACAUUAAACAAUCAUGACUUAAUACAGAAGGAAGAGUUAUUUCAAAGGAUAUUCUUUACUUGUAGAAGUCUCUCAGGCAUCAGGACUUACACCAACAUUUUGAGAAUAGCCACAAAGUUUCCCUCAAUAUACUUCCCAAGUCAUUUGCAAUGAAGCUUUCAUUCCCAGUCUG